UAAUACGAAGGGGGCAAGCGUUGUUCGGAAUUACUGGGCGUAAAGGGCGCGUAGGCGGUGCUCUAAGUCAGGCGUGAAAGCCCUGGGCUCAACCCGGGAAUUGCGCUUGAUACUGGAGCGCUUGAAUCCAGGAGAGGUUGGUGGAAUUCCCAGUGUAGAGGUGAAAUUCGUAGAGAUUGGGAAGAACACCGGUGGCGAAGGCGGCCAACUGGACUGGUAUUGACGCUGAGGCGCGAAAGCGUGGGGAGCAAACAGGAUUAGAUACCCUGGUAGUCCACGCUGUAAACGAUGUGUGCUAGCCGUUGGGGCUCUUAGAGCUUCGGUGGCGUCGCUAACGCUUUAAGCACACCGCCUGGGGAGUACGGUCGCAAGAUU
rnacentral:rRNA from 1 species